rnacentral:rRNA from 1 species
AUUGAACGCUGGCGGCAGGCCUAACACAUGCAAGUCGAGCGGAUGACGGGAGCUUGCUCCUUGAUUCAGCGGCGGACGGGUGAGUAAUGCCUAGGAAUCUGCCUGGUAGUGGGGGACAACGUUUCGAAAGGAACGCUAAUACCGCAUACGUCCUACGGGAGAAAGCAGGGGACCUUCGGGCCUUGCGCUAUCAGAUGAGCCUAGGUCGGAUUAGCUAGUAGGUGAGGUAAUGGCUCACCCAGGCGACGAUCCGUAACUGGUCUGAGAGGAUGAUCAGUCACACUGGAACUGAGACACGGUCCAGACUCCUACGGGAGGCAGCAGUGGGGAAUAUUGGACAAUGGGCGAAAGCCUGAUCCAGCCAUGCCGCGUGUGUGAAGAAGGUCUUCGGAUUGUAAAGCAUUUUAAGUUGGGAGGAAGGGCAGUAAGCUAAUACCUUGCUGUUUUGACGUUACCGACAGAAUAAGCACCGGCUAACUCUGUGCCAGCCGCCGCAGUAAAAC